GACGAACGCUGGCGGCGUGCUUAACACAUGCAAGUCGAACGAUGGAGCUGGAGCUUGCUCCGGUGGAUUAGUGGCGAACGGGUGAGUAACACGUGAGCAAUCUGCCCUUGACUCUGGGAUAACUGCGGGAAACUGUAGCUAAUACCGGAUACGAGAUUUGGAGGCAUCUCCGGAUCUGGAAAGAAUUUCGGUCAAGGAUGAGCUCGCGGCCUAUCAGCUUGUUGGUGAGGUAAUGGCUCACCAAGGCGACGACGGGUAGCCGGCCUGAGAGGGUGACCGGCCACGCUGGGACUGAGACACGGCCCAGAAUCCUACGGGAGGCAGCAGUGGGGAAUAUUGCACAAUGGGCGAAAGCCUGAUGCAGCAACGCCGCGUGAGGGAUGAAGGCCUUUGGGUUGUAAACCUCUUUUAGUAGGGAAGAAGCGAAAGUGACGGUACCUACAGAAAAAGCACCGGCUAACUACGUGCCAGCCGCCGCAGUAA
rnacentral:rRNA from 1 species